GCUCAGCUUGUUGAGUUGAAUAGACCUCCUGUACCUCAGCACUACGUGCAGAUCUUUGAGAUUCUCCUCUUACCUGAGUCAUGGAAAAAGUCCGCAAAUGUUCCAGCUCUUGUCCGAUUGCUCCAAGCAUUCCUCCGGAAGGCACCCCAUGAGCUUAACCAGCAGGGCAGGCUGUCUAAUGUUCUGGGUAUUUUCAAUACACUGAUUUCAUCUCCCAGCACAGAUGACCAAGGUUUUUAUGUGCUCAACACGGUUAUUGAAAACCUUGGGUAUGAUGUAAUAUCACCUUUUAUGGGCCACAUUUGGGUUUCACUUUUUAACCGGCUGCAGCAUGGCAGAACGGUGAAGUUUCUGAAGAAUCUUGUGAUAUUUAUGUCUCUAUUCUUGGUCAAGCAUGGGUUACAGAAUCUUGUGGUUUCAAUGAAUGCGGUUCAGAAGGAUGUAUUUCAGACCAUUGUGGAGCAAUUUUGGGUGCUGAACCUCAAGUUAAUCACAGGAUCUGUUGAACUCAAGCUGACUUCAGUUGCUUCAACAAAACUAAUUUGCGAAUCUUCAACAUUAUUGGAUCCCAAGGUCCGGGGCAAAAUGCUUGACAGCAUUGUUACUCUUCUCUCUAGACCGGAGGAAGAGAGAGUGUUGGAUGAGACAGACGUUCCAGACUUUGGGGAGACUGUGGGUUAUAAUGCUACUUUCGUUCAUCUUUAUAAUGCUGGGAAGAAAGAAGAGGACCCUUUGAAGGAAGUGAAUGAUCCAAAGCAAUAUUUGGUGGCUUCCAUGGCGAAUCUUGCUGCUCUUUCCCCUGGAACAUAUCCGCAGCUUAUUAGGGAAAAUCUUGAGCCAGCAAAUCAAACAGCUCUUCUUCAGCUCUGCAGCUCCUACAAUCUCUCAAUACUUUGAGAAGAAUCCAUGUGGUGGGCCUGUGGUCAAGAAGGCGGUUCAUGGAGUAGACAGGAAUCUGUUGUUUCUAUCCUUGCACUUGUCUGAUUAUGUUGCUUAUGGAUGUAGCAGUUGAUUGAGUUUGCAGCUCGUCUGUUAUUUGUUGUGGAGUCAGCAUUAUGGUUUGAGUUCUCAUUCUUUCAUCUUCCCGUCGUCAGUGGCAGUAGCCUCUAUUGCCACGGAUAUUUUGGCCAGAGAAAGUCUCUUUUUUGUUUUUGUUUUUAGGGGGGUGGGAGUGUCCGAGCAUAUGUGAUGAUGGGGGAUUUGCUUCAUUUAGGAUUUUGAUAUGUUAAUGUGCUAAAGCAAAAUAGAAAUGGUUAAACACCUAUAAUAUUCGGGAUUGAGCUGUUGUCAUAGUCAUUUUGCUAAGAUUUUGUUUUUCAACUUCAUUUUGAGAAUUUGCUCCUUCUUUCAGUGUGUAAUUA
rnacentral:misc_RNA from 1 species